GGGCUAGCGUUGCUCGGAAUCACUGGGCGUAAAGGGUGCGUAGGCGGGUCUUUAAGUCAGGGGUGAAAUCCUGGAGCUCAACUCCAGAACUGCCUUUGAUACUGAAGAUCUUGAGUUCGGGAGAGGUGAGUGGAACUGCGAGUGUAGAGGUGAAAUUCGUAGAUAUUCGCAAGAACACCAGUGGCGAAGGCGGCUCACUGGCCCGGUACUGACGCUGAGGUGCGAAAAGCGUGGGGGAGCAAACAGGG
rnacentral:rRNA from 1 species